rnacentral:rRNA from 1 species
GACCCGAAGAUACCCGAAUGAGGAAACUUUUUAUACUACCUAUUGAAUCUAUAGAUAGGAAAGAGCGAACCUAGUGAACUGAAACAUCUUAGUAACUAGAGGAAAAGAAAGCAAAAAGCGAUUCCCGUAGUAGCGGCGAGCGAACUGGGACCAGCCUAAACUAUUUAUAAUUAAAUAGGGUUGUGGGACAUCUUUUAUAAAAUGGGAUAAUUAAGCGAAUCAACUGGAAUGUUGAGCCAUAGACGGUGAAAGCCCCGUAGUUAAAAAUUUGAAAAUUUUAGAUGUAUCCCAAGUAGCUUGGGGCACGUGAAACCCCUUGUGAAUCUGCGAGGACCACCUCGUAAGGCUAAAUAUUCCUAGAUGACCGAUAGCGAAAUAGUACCGUGAGGGAAAGGUGAAAAGAACCCCGGGAGGGGAGUGAAAUAGAACAUGAAACCAUAAGCUUACAAGGAGUGGGAGGACGACUAAUCGUCUGACCUCGUGCCUGUUGAAGAAUGAGCUGGCGACUUAUAGGCAGUGGCAAGGUUAAGGUGUUUACACUGGAGCCAUAGUGAAAGCGAACCUGAAUAGGGUUUUUAGUUACUGUUUAUAGACCCGAACCCGGAUGAUCUAACCAUGACCAGUGUGAAGCGUAGGUAACACUACGUGGAGGUACCAACCGACUGAUGUUGAAAAAUCAGCGGAUGAGUUGUGGUUAGGGGUGAAAUACCAAUCGAAUUCGGAGCUAGCUGGUUCUCCCCGAAAUGCGUUGAGGCGCAGCGGUUGAUGCUCCAACAUAGGGGUAAAGCACUGUUACGGUGCGGGCUGCGAGAGCGGUACCAAAUCGAGGCAAACUAAGAAUACUAUGUGUGUAGUCAACCAGUGAGACAUUGGGGGAUAAGCUUCAGUGUCAAGAGGGAAACAGCCCAGAUCACCAGCUAAGGCCCCUAAAUAAUUACUAAGUGAUAAAGGAUGUGGGAAUACUCAGACAACCAGGAGGUUUGCUUAGAAGCAGCAAUCCUUUAAAGAGUGCGUAAUAGCUCACUGUUCUAGUGAUCCUGCGCCGAAAAUGACCGGGGCUAAGUAAUUUGCCGAAGCUGUGAGAUGUAAAAACAUCGGUAGGGGAGCGUUCUACAUUAGGUUGAAGUACUAACGUAAGUGGGUAUGGACGAAGUAGAAGUGAGAAUGUCAGCUUGAGUAGCGAAAACAUUGGUGAGAAUCCAAUGCCCCGAAAGCCUAAGGUUUCCUCUGGAAGGUUCGUCCGCGGAGGGUGAGUCAGGAGCUAAGGUGAGGUCGAAAGACGUAAUCGAUGAACAACGGGUUAAUAUUCCCGUACCGUUUAUUACUGAUAUCAAGGGACGGAGAAGGCUAGGUCAGCCGGAUGUUGGUUACCGGUUUAAGCAUUCGAGGUGUUGAGAAGUAGAGAAAAUACUUUGAGCUGAGGUGUGAAUAGGAGGUACUACGGUACUGAAGUGAUUGAUGUCAUACUUCCAAGAAAAGCUUGUAAUAUCUUAAGUAGUAAAUGCCUGUACCAAAACCGACACAGGUAGGCAAGUAGAGAAUACUAAGGGGCGCGAGAUAACUCUCUCUAAGGAACUCGGCAAAAUGGCCUCGUAACUUCGGGAGAAGAGGUACCCUUUUAGGGUUGCAACAACCAGGCCCAAGCGACUGUUUACCAAAAACAUAGGUUUCCGCAAAGUCGUAAGACAAAGUAUGGGAGCUGACGCCUGCCCAGUGCCGGAAGGUUAAGGAAGUUGGUCAGUCUUCGGAUGAAGCUAAUAACCGAAGCCCCGGUGAACGGCGGCCGUAACUAUAACGGUCCUAAGGUAGCGAAAUUCCUUGUCGGGUAAGUUCCGACCCGCACGAAAGUCGUAACGAUUUGGGCACUGUCUCGGAGAGAGGCUCGGCGAAAUAGACAUGUCUGUGAAGAUGCGGACUACCUGCACCUGGACAGAAAGACCCUAUGAAGCUUUACUGUAGCUUGAGAUUGUUUUCGGGCUCUAUUUGCGCAGGAUAGGUGGGAGGCUAUGAUAUCAUUCUUGUGGGAAUGGUGGAGCCAAUGGUGAGAUACCACUCUAAUAGGGCUAGGAACCUAACUCUGAGCCGUUAUCCGGCCAGAGGACAUUUUCAGGUGGGCAGUUUGACUGGGGCGGUCGCCUCCUAAAGAGUAACGGAGGCGUGCAAAGGUUUCCUCAGGCUGGUCGGAAAUCAGUCGUAGAGUGUAAAGGCAUAAGGAAGCUUGAUUGUGAGACCUACAAGUCGAGCAAAGAUGAAAGUCGGCCUUAGUGAUCCGACGGUGCCGAGUGGAAGGGCCGUCGCUCAACGGAUAAAAGUUACUCUAGGGAUAACAGGCUGAUCUCCCCCAAGAGUUCAUAUCGACGGGGAGGUUUGGCACCUCGAUGUCGGCUCAUCGCAUCCUGGGGCGGUAGUACGUCCCAAGGGUUGGGCUGUUCGCCCAUGAAAGCGGUACGCGAGCUG